CCUACGGGGGGCAGCAGUGAGGAAUAUUGGUCAAUGGGCGAGAGUCUGAACCAGCCAAGUCGCGUGAGGGAUGACUGUCCUAUGGGUUGUAAACUUCUUUUGUAGGGGAAUAAAACGAGCCACGUGUGCCGUUUUGCAUGUACUUUAUGAAUAAGGAUCGGCUAACUCCGUGCCAGCAGCCCCGGUAAUACGGAGGAUCCGAGCGUUAACCGGAUUUAUUGGGUUUAAAGGGAGCGUAUGUGGGAUGUUAAGUCAGGUGUGAAAUUUUGCGGCUCAACCGUACAAGUGCCAUUGAUACUGGCAGUCUUGAGUGAGGUAGAGGUAAGCGGAAUUCGUGGUGUAGCGGUGAAAUGCUUAGAUAUCACGAAGAACCCCGAUUGCGAAGGCAGCUUACU
rnacentral:rRNA from 1 species